rnacentral:misc_RNA from 1 species
GAUAUUUAGGAACUUUUUCUUUGGUGGAAUGGCGCCAACAACCACACAUUUUCGAACUUUCAAUUUUGGCACUGGAAUGGGACACAGGACAGCUGAUCAGGGCUCAGGUGGUGGCCUUAGGACUCUGAUUCAAUUGCUUCCUGUGCUGUUAAUAUUGCUUUUGAACUUCUUGCCAUCCUCAGAACCUAUCUAUGCUCUUUCCCAUUCCUACCCUUAUGAAUUCCAGUUUACCACUCAAAAGGGUGUCAAUUAUUUUGUGAGAUCAACCAAUUUUGAGGAAAAGUAUCCACCUAAUAGCCCGGAC